UACGUAGGGUGCAAGCGUUAAUCGGAAUUACUGGGCGUAAAGCGUGCGCAGGCGGUUCGGAAAGAAAGAUGUGAAAUCCCAGGGCUCAACCUUGGAACUGCAUUUUUAACUACCGGACUAGAGUAUGUCAGAGGGGGGUGGAAUUCCACGUGUAGCAGUGAAAUGCGUAGAUAUGUGGAGGAACACCGAUGGCGAAGGCAGCCCCCUGGGAUAAUACUGACGCUCAUGCACGAAAGCGUGGGGAGCAAAC
rnacentral:rRNA from 1 species